UACAGAGGUCCCGAGCGUUGUUUGGAUUCAUUGGGCGUAAAGGGUGCGUAGGCGGCCUGUUAAGUUUGAUGUGAAAUCCCGGGGCUCAACCCUGGAAUUGCAUUGAAUACUGGCAGGCUAGAGUACCGGAGAGGAAACUGGAAUUUACGGUGUAGCAGUGAAAUGCGUAGAGAUCGUAAGGAAGACCAGUGGCGAAGGCGAGUUUCUGGACGGUAACUGACGCUGAGGCACGAAGGCCAGGGGAGCAAACGGG
rnacentral:rRNA from 1 species